rnacentral:rRNA from 1 species
CCUACGGGUGGCUGCAGUGGGGAAUAUUGGACAAUGGGGGGAACCCUGAUCCAGCCAUGCCGCGUGUGUGAAGAAGGCCCUCGGGUUGUAAAGCACUUCAGUGAGGAAGAACGGCUGGUGGGUAAUACCCAUCAGGAAAGACAUCACUCACAGAAGAAGCACCGGCUAACUCCGUGCCAGCAGCCGCGGUAAUACGGAGGGUGCGAGCGUUAAUCGGAAUUACUGGGCGUAAAGCGCGCGUAGGUGGCUUGAUAAGCCGGUUGUGAAAGCCCCGGGCUCAACCUGGGAACGGCAUCCGGAACUGUCAAGCUAGAGUGCAGGAGAGGAAGGUAGAAUUCCCGGUGUAGCGGUGAAAUGCGUAGAGAUCGGGAGGAAUACCAGUGGCGAAGGCGGCCUUCUGGACUGACACUGACACUGAGGUGCGAAAGCGUGGGUAGCAAACAGGAUUAGAUACCCCAGUAGUC